CUGAGUCAUCUUUGUCCAUAAACACGCUUACACUUCCUAACCUCAUCUCGCUGAAGAUGGGUAGCGUGUUUUCUUUCCCUCACCCCCUUCCUAGGGUGUCUAGUCCACUCCCCUCUUCCCUCAGCACCUUCCCUCAGGAACGUAUAUUUUAUCUAUCUUUCCUGUUCCAGACUGCCAGCUGUCACAUGUGAUUGAAGAACUGUAGAAGAAAUAUUGACAUAACCCAUGUAAAGAGAGUUCCUUGGGGUCCUCAGCAAUUCCUUGAAAUGUAAAGAGGUUCUGAGAUUCAGAAGUUUGAGAACUGCUGCUCUAGGACCACUCUUGCCCCCCACAUGGGCUCCUUCUUGCUCUUCCUCGCUAAGACCCGCCGCUUCAACUACCGCCUCCAAGCUGGUGACGGCUCCCGGCAGCACGCAAGCUCGUGUGCACCACUCUUCAAGGACCUGGAGCGAAGGGAAGUGGGACUGCCCCGAGAGUGGAACUGGAUAAAUCCAAACACAGAGGAUGUGAUUGACCACUCAGUCAUUCAACAAAUACUUAGAGCCAUUCUGCUACUACAGUUCUGGGAAGUAGGUGUUUACAGAUUUCACCUUGGUGAGGAGGCAGAUGUGAUGCAAGAGAAGUUCCUGCCAGUCACGGGAAUGGGGGAGAAGGAGGAGAGCCCAGAGAGCAGACUUUAGGAUUGACAGCUCAAGGACAAGACCAGACUAGCAUUCUUGCAGCACACAUUGGUGACAAUCCAGAGAAGAGUCACCAUGAGGUCACCUAAGCACCACCCUCUAGACACUGUCUCCAGGAGGAACAGAGAAAAAGUGAGAGAAACAGCUUUGGCAGAGAGUUGUCACCUUGGCAUAACACUGUCUCACAUUAGAAAACUGAGAUACUUUCAUUGGCAAUUUGAAGCUCCAUCUUCAACAUUUUCUUUGCAUGUCUGAGAUGA